UACGAAGGGUGCAAACGUUGCUCGGAAUUAUUGGGCGUAAAGCGCACGUAGGCGGCUUAGCAAGUCGGAAGUGAAAGCCCUCGGCUCAACCAAGGAAGUGCUUUCGAAACUGCUGAGCUUGAGUAGUUAAGAGGAUCGCGGAAUUCCCGGUGUAGAGGUGAAAUUCGUAGAUAUCGGGAGGAACACCAGUGGCGAAGGCGACGAUCUGGGAACAUACUGACGCUGAGGUGCGAAAGCGUGGGGAGCAAACAGG
rnacentral:rRNA from 1 species